AUGUUUCCUAUUUUAAACUUUGGAGUAUGAACAUGUGAAAGACCUACUUCAUUUCACAGACCACCUUAGUCUUCACUCAUUCUAGUAAACAUUGUAAGUGGGCUUAAGCUCUUUCAAAUUUUCUUCUGUCAAUUGGUCCUUCCACCUCACAUGGAUGAAAGUUUGAGAACAGCAGCUCGUACAGGAAAUGUUACUGGUUUGUACAAUUUAAUUCAAAGAGAUGGAAAUGUUUUGAGGCACUUUGAUGAGGUGGAGUUUGUCAACACUCCUUUACGCAUUGCUGCAGAAGAAAGAUGCAUUAGGUUUGCAAUGGAAAUGAUGAAGUUAAAGCCAGCAUUUACUAGGAAGCUAAACCAACAGGGCUUGAGCCCACUUCACAUUGCAGUUAAACAAGGGCAUAAAGAGAUGGCUCUACGUUUCUUGGAAAUUGAUAAAUAUCUUGUUCGUGUCAAAGGAAAGAACGAUUCAGGCAUCUGGCCCAGUGGCUAAGGACGCUAGGAGGACGCUAGGGAGAAGCCUGGGUUCAAGGCACAGCGUACGCAAUUUAGUGGCAGCAACGCGCUGGACAUAGGGAGAGGGCGCAGGUUCGAUUCCAUAUGCGAGUGAAUCCUGUUUUAUUUUUAAAGUGGGCCAGAACUGAAGCAGGUAAGGUUUAUAAUUUAUUGUGACCAUAUAUUAGCGAGGAAAGAAGCCUGGUGCUGUGGCCAGCAGCAUGGGCGUGGGCGCUAGGCGGACGGAGGUAUGGGGUUCGAGUACAGGAGAAGGUAUGCUUUAAUGUUAUAUUUUUAAAAUGAACGGGACUUCAGCAGGUAACCUUUAAGAUAAAAUGUGAUGGUAUAUUAUUGAAAAUAAAUGCCCGUCCCAGUGGUCAGCAGCGUGCUGGGCAACCUAGAGGUCCCAGGUUCGAUCAGCGCUAUGUGCAAAAGAAGAGUUUCUUUUUGCUGAACGCGCGUGGGAAGGACCGUAUGGGAUUGAAACUGUACCAGCUGCAGGAGGAGUCGGCUGAGUGGGGGACUGCUGCUCAGUAGUGGGAGUUUGAAUUAAAUUCAAACUUUGAUUUUGGCCAUGAAUUUAGGAGAAGGAAGGAAUUAAAAUUGGAAAAAGAUUUUAUUUUAUUCUAAUCUUAUCUUAUCUCCUUUUUUUUUUCUUUCUCAUAUUCUUUUCUAUUUCUUCCCCCAAAGCUGAACAAUUCUCUCAUUUUUUUAUUUUCUUUCCUUCUCUCAUAUAUUCCCCUCUUCUCUUUUCUUUCUCCUCUUGUC